CUCUUCCCAUUCUCUCUCUCUCUCUCUCUCUCCCCAACGCGGCCUCCAACCCAUGUUGUCGAUGGAGGACGCGUGGGUGUAUAUCCUCUCGGCAUCCUCCUUCCUCUUUCUUCUCUUCCUGUUCAAAUUGCAGAGAAGCGGCAAGAGAAAUCUCCCGCCGGGCCCGCCUUCCCUCCCCAUCAUCGGCCAUCUCCUCCUCAUAAAAGAACCCGUCCACCGCACCCUCCAGUCCCUCUCCGACCGCUAUGGCCCUGUUCUUUCCCUCUCAUUCGGCUCUCGGCCUGUGGUCGUCGUAUCCUCCCCUUCCGCCGCCGAGGAGUGCUUCACCAGGAAUGACGUCAUCCUCGCCAACCGCCCCAGCAUGCUUGCGGGCAAGGUCAUGGCCUACGGCAACACUACUAUCGGCACCGCCCCCUACGGUCCCCACUGGCGCAACCUCCGCCGCCUCACAGCCCUCGAGAUCCUUUCGCCGCAUCGUCUCGCCGGCUCCCACGCCAUCCGGCAGGAGGAAGUCAGGCUCCUCGUGAGGAGCCUCUACAAGGCGACCUCCUCUGGCCCGGGUGGCGGUUUCACGAGGGUGGAGAUGAGGUCGAAGCUGCAGGAGCUGCCCUUCAACAUCAUCAUGAGGAUGAUCUCUGGGAAGCGCUACUCCGGGGCUGCUGUCGACGCAGGCGAUGCUGAGGUGGCCAGGCGGUUCAGGGAGGUAAUAGAGGAGCAAUUCGAGUUGAGCGGGACGGACCCGGGCGAUUACUUGCCAGUGCUGCGGAAGGUGGUGGACUUCAAGGGGAGGGAGCGGAGGAUGGUGGACGUGGCCAAGAGGUGCGAUGUGAUCUUGCAGGGGAUGAUAGACGAGCACAGGUCGAGAAGGAAGAGAAAUGAUGCCAACGGCGGCCGAGAGGACGAGAGCAAGACGAUGAUCGACACCAUGCUGUCGGAGGGCUACGCGGACGACAUCAUCAAAGGCCAGAUCAAUUCAAUGUCAAGUGCAGGCACGGACACAUCCGCGGUAACGAUAGAAUGGGCCAUGUCCCUCCUACUCAAUCAUCCGGAUGUCAUGAAAAAAGCUCAAGCAGAACUAGAUGACGUCGUUGGUCGAGACCGUCUAGUUGACGAAGUUGACACCCACAAGCUACCUUACCUUCAUAACAUCAUCAACGAGGCACUCCGAUUGUUUCCGCCAGGGCCACUCCUAGUGCCGCAUGAGUCUGCUGAGGAUUGCACCGUCAGCGGGUUCGACGUGCCCCGAGGAACCAUGAUCUUGGUUAAUGUGUGGGCAAUUCAGAGAGACCCAAAAGUGUGGGAUGAUCCCACAAGUUUUAAACCGGAGAGGUAUGAGGGAUUGGAAGGUGAUCAUGCGUACCGAUUGUUGCCGUUUGGGAUGGGGAGGAGGAGUUGUCCCGGUGCUGGCCUGGCCAAUCGAGUGGUGAGCUUGGCUCGGCGGUGCUUAUUCAAUGCUUGGAGUGGAAACGAGUCGUGAAGAGCCGAUGGACUUGUCGAGGGGACGGGACUCACAAUGCCCAAGAGAGAGCCAUUGGAGGCUAUGUGUAAAGCACGUGAAUGCAUGAUAGCCAAUGUUCUUGCGCAGCUUUGAGAAGGUCUUUGGUCAUGUAUCUCCAAUGUUUUUGAAUGAUCAAAUAGACUGAAAAUAGGAGUGACUAUGUAGCUUUAGGCCAGUGCAGUUUUAGGAGUGGUCGUGAGCAUCAGUAGCAUCCUGAGGAGGUCAAUGCAGCUUUAGGCCUCUCUCUUAGGAGAAAAAUGCUGGUUUAUAUAGAUACUAGCAACAUUGUUCAUGCCUCUCUCUCUAUUUCGGGCAUUUGUUGUUGCACCGGUAACUGAAAUAGUUGGCUUGGCAUAUUGAGUUA